AGUCGACGUGAAAGUCCUUCGGGACGAGUAAAGUGGCGCACGGGUGAGUAACGCGUGGAUAAUCUACCCUUAAGAUGGGGAUAACGGCUGGAAACGGUCGCUAAUACCGAAUACGCUCCCGAUUUUAUCAUUGGGGGGAAAGAUGGCCUCUGCUUGCAAGCUAUCGCUUAAGGAUGAGUCCGCGUCCCAUUAGCUAGUUGGCGGGGUAACGGCCCACCAAGGCAACGAUGGGUAGCCGGUCUGAGAGGAUGACCGGCCACACUGGAACUGGAACACGGUCCAGACUCCUACGGGAGGCAGCAGUGGGGAAUAUUGCGCAAUGGGCGAAAGCCUGACGCAGCGACGCCGCGUGAGGGAUGAAGGUUCUCGGAUCGUAAACCUCUGUCAGGGGGGAAGAAACCCCCUCGUGUGAAUAAUGCGAGGGCUUGACGGUACCCCCAAAGGAAGCACCGGCUAACUCCGUGCCAGCAGCCGCGGUAAUACGGAGGGUGCAAGCGUUAAUCGGAAUCACUGGGCGUAAAGCGCACGUAGGCGGCUUGGUAAGUCAGGGGUGAAAUCCCACAGCCCAACUGUGGAACUGCCUUUGAUACUGCCAGGCUUGAGUACCGGAGAGGGUGGCGGAAUUCCAGGUGUAGGAGUGAAAUCCGUAGAUAUCUGGAGGAACACCGGUGGCGAAGGCGGCCACCUGGACGGUAACUGACGCUGAGGUGCGAAAGCGUGGGUAGCAAACAGGAUUAGAUACCCUGGUAGUCCACGCUGUAAACGAUGGGUGCUGGGUGCUGG
rnacentral:rRNA from 1 species